rnacentral:rRNA from 1 species
UACAGGGGGUGCAAACGUUGCUCGGAAUUAUUGGGCGUAAAGCGCGCGUAGGCGGCUACCUAAGUCGGAUGUGAAAGCCCCUGGCUCAACUGGGGAAGUGCACCCGAAACUGAGUGGCUUGAAUACCAAAGAGGGUCGCGGAAUUCCCGGUGUAGAGGUGAAAUUCGUAGAUAUCGGGAGGAACACCGGUGGCGAAGGCGGCAUCCUGGACCGACAUUGACGCUGAGGAGCGAAAGCCAGGGGAGCAAACGGG